rnacentral:rRNA from 1 species
AUGCAGGAGGCGGGGAUCACGGCCCCAUCGUUCCUUUGCCAUCGAGGAAGGGGAUGGAGGCGGUGGAUCCGUCGGCGGCCAGUCACGGUGCCGCGGGCUCCCUCGCUCUGGCUGAUGCCGUCGCUUGCUCGCCCACGACAGCUGCCUCCAGUGUACCAUAUAACUGGAAUUAACCAAUGCAAGUCCAAGAAGGAUUGGUCGGUGCUGCCGCCUGGCGUCAAGUUCGAUCCCACGGAUCAGGAGCUGAUCGAGCACCUUGAGGCCAAAGUGAGUGCUGACAGUGCGAGAUCUCACCCUCUCAUCGAUUUGUUCAUACCAACCAUCGACAACGAGCACGGCAUAUGCUACACCCAUCCUGAGAAACUUCCAGGUAUCACACUGAGUGGCCUAAGCAAGCAUUUCUUCCAGCGCAACUCCAGGACGUUCAGAAGGGGCACGUGGACGCGUUGCAAGAUACAGUCGGAGUGCGGCAUGCAUACGAUGUGGCACAAGACCGACAAUACCUUGUCGGUGAUGGUCAACGGCCGGCAGACGGGCAGCAAAAAGGUUCUGGUGCUGCACACCAACAAGAACUUCGACCAGCAGAGGACCAACUGGGUGAUGCACCAGUACCACCUCGGGGACAUGCAGCAAGAGAAGGAGCAGGAGCUGGUCCUCUACAAGAUUUUCUACCAGACGAACACUAGGGCCAGGACUAAAAAGAUUAUAAGUUAG